UGGGGAAUCUUGCACAAUGGGGGCAACCCUGAUGCAGCGACGCCGCGUGAGCGAUGAAGGUUUUCGAAUCGUAAAGCUCUGUCCUAUGGGAAGAUAAUGACGGUACCAUAGGAGGAAGCCCCGGCUAACUACGUGCCAGCAGCCGCGGUAAUACGUAGGGGGCGAGCGUUGUCCGGAAUUACUGGGCGUAAAGGGUUCGCAGGCGGCAUGGCAAGUCCGAUGUAAAAGGCGAAGGCUCAACCUUCGUAAGCAUCGGAAACUGUCAAGCUUGAGUGGAGGAGAGGGAAGUGGAAUUCCUAGUGUAGCGGUGGAAUGCGUAGAUAUUAGGAGGAAUACCGGUGGCGAAGGCGACUUGCUGGACUUCAACUGACGCUGAGGAACGAAAGCGUGGGUAGCAAAAAGG
rnacentral:rRNA from 1 species